AAACUAGCGUUGAAAAGGAUUAGUAGAUAACGUCUGUGAGUGAUGAUAGAGAAUGGGAGCCACCGGCUGAAAGCUCCCUUCACUUAAACGAAUCGAACCUACCUUGGAGCUGUCAAGGAAACUUGAACGUCGCUCGCGUUAUUGAGCAUGUAAGUGGGCUAUGAUAGCCAAACAAGGUGGUACCGCGGAACCUCUCCGUCCUUUUU
rnacentral:ncRNA from 1 species